ACUUUGAACGAUUAUUACAUGUUCUAUGAGUGUGCAUGUGUUCUAAGUGAGGAGACGCGCUGAUAUGACUUGUUGAAGGUCUCGAUACAACAUGGCGCGACAGUUGACCGUCCAGAACCAUUUUGCACGAUCACUGUGUUUCUUCGAGCUUUGUCGUAAUCGAGGCGACUUGAGUGCUCAGAGUCAAGCGAGUGUACUUAAAAAUUAGGAUUUUAUAUAAUGAGGGACUUUGCCGCGUCUUUAAUUGGGCGGAUGUGAGCAUUCGACAUGAUCCCCGAAGCGCAAGCCACUACCAUAAUAGUUACGUGCAGUGCGAGGUGAGCUAAGCUUCGCCGCCUAACCGCGGCCUGAAAAUGUGGCGGCUCGUUAAGGGCUUACUGCGGUGCGCGUGUGUGAGUGUUUGUACAGCGAUCAUUUGAGCGAGAACCGGCGGCGCUUCUUUGUGCGCGGUAUCUGCUAGCUGGCGCGUACGUGGCGCCAAUCCCCUAGCUCGUGCGAUUGUGUGCAGUAGGUCGCCCACUUAGCGCGCAUUGUGCAGAUUUGCCAGUACGCUCCUUUCUAUCGUCUGUGUCUCUUCGCGCCCACGUCGUUGAUUGUGCAGGCAGUGCGCGACUGCGGCACGUAGCAUGUAGAGCCUGCGCCCGUCGACUUUGAUCUACGGGCGUGAAAUGUCGGCGGCGCGUUUGUGGUAUUAAAAGCGUGUGGUGAGCUUCCAACGGCACUACGGGUCAACGCCGCAUGAGCUGCCGGUCAGAGUAUAAGAACCUCUUUAUUGUUAGCGUACUGCUUGGCGGUAACAGGUGUCCUGCUUGGGUUCAGAUUACUGGAUACGCCGUCACUUGAACCUCGGCGGCCGGAGCAGGACUGCGGCUGCGGUCGUUUCAUUGCCAACUGUGAGGAUGAAGCAGCUUCAUGGCCGGAGAUCGGGCGCCUCCCAUCAGUUUCCCUUUUCAGCAAUAGAGGCCUUGGAGGCCUUUCUACCUGCGUUGCAUCCUGUGGCUGGACCACUCCCACGAUCUCGGCAGAAUCGUUACACAGGAAGAAGUCUGGCUGGCCCCAAGCCUGGUGCAAAAUGAAGAAAUGGCACUCCACAUCAAUUCAUGUUUACUUGUCGUCAUAACCAGUCUGUUAGCUUAAUUUUUGGUUCUUCCUAUUGAAUUCUCAAGAAAGGUACCAACUCUGUCAUUCACUCUGCAAACAAAUUUUUGCACUUGGGGAUGCAGCCAUGCACAAAGCCUUUGAGCUCAUUAAUAUCUUUAUUUUUUAAAGAAAGUGCAGCUGCUGCGUGGAGCAAUAGGUUGAAUAAGACGAGGGUAACUGAAAAGAUGGCGAAAUUAGUCAUCAACAGUUGUCCAACAAAGGAAGUCUCAAGCUGGAGGCAACAUCUUUGCAAGAGAACCAAAUGGCUCCAGCCUGAGACAUUCGUUGUUCAACCUGGCAAGUCUCCUUCUCUAAAUAUUUCCUCUAGCCUGAGACCUAUAUCCAUUCCACCACCCUUGACCAACAAUACACCUAUACAUUUGGCAACCCAUGGAAAGGUAGCAAAUUCACAUUCAAGGAAAGGGAAUGUAGUGUGCACCCUGGAAGGUAGCAUGAACAGUAUUUUAUUUACUUAAUGAAAUGCAGAUUUGCUAUCCAAUUACUUUAUUUUGAUCCCCGUUUUAUAAUUGGACAGCAUGGUUCCUCAGAGAGAAUAAUAAUUCGAAGCUCACACAAUUUUGCUCCUUUAUGUCCGUUAAAUCUGUCCUGGUUGCUACGCUAUCAGCCCUGUCUGCAAUUGCGUAGCAGUGUUUUGAGCAUGCAUCCGAAUUCAAAAGAAUAGUUAGGCUUCUACCUCAGAAUGUUUGCUACUGUGUUGCAGCUCGAAUUCUAUGUCUAGGUGGUCACUGUGAUGCCAUGUGCUUUUUAAAUAAGACCAAUAUGCUAUUUGAAGGGCAAUUAAAUGCAAUCUCAAAUGACCUCAGCUCGGGGAAUGACACAAUUGGAGGUCAAUGUGAUAAGGAGGAUUUGAUUUCUGAAAACAAGGCACUUAAACGGGAGAAAGCAUGACUAAUUUCGUAUAAAGAUGCUGCUUUUGGAUAUGAUCAGGGAAGGUACUUGUUCGUGGCUGCAUUUGCAACAUGUUACAUUGCUGGCUUUAUAUAUUGCACUGGGUACAGUGAAAUGUUGCUGCUUGCACAAUAUUCAACUAAACAUGGUAGCCAUGCUAAUGUGUCCAUGCAGAACACAACUCAUCCACUAUUAUGGACUACAGUGGAAUCUCGAUAAACGAAAAUCGCUUCGAAACUGCCGCUUAAAUAGGACACCAUCCUGAUAAUUGGUUGGCUCUCUGCAAUGUCUCUCAGUAAAUAUAAUGCCUGGUAAAUGGAACCAAUUUCCCUGGCACCUUGAGGCUCCAUUUAAAGAGCACCCACUGUAAAAAUAUAGGGGGGAUCGUGUUUGGAACUUUCGUAAAUGUAGUCUUAAACAAAACCGCAUUUCAGUGGGAGCGAAAUGCAAAAGCACCUGUGUACUUAGACAGGUGCAUGUUAAAGAACCCCAGGUUGUCCAAAUUUAUUCGGGUUACUCGCUAUGGCAUGUGUCAUAAUCAGAAGGUGGGUUCUGGUUCGUAAAAUGCAAUAAUUUGUAAUAGCUUGCUCAGAAAUCCAGCAGUAAAUUAUGUAGCUUGUUUGUGUGAUGAGUCCCAAUUUCUUAAUUUAGUACUUUGACAUUUAUCAUAUUUGUGUGCUAGUCCAUGCAAAAUACCACUGAUCGGCCUCAUUAUACCAGCCACUGUUAAUUAGGAAUGGCUUAGUCAAGCAACUUAAACUUACAGCACAAACACCUAAGAUGAACCACAAAAGGAAGAUACAACACACACUGGUGCUAACUUCUUUAUUUCUUCGUCGUCGAUGCAAUAUAAACCCUAGGCCACACUACCGCGCAGGCACUCAGAUUACAUUACAGAGAUCUGCCAAAUUAUCACAUACGCAAGCGUAGGAAGUCAAAUUCAGAUGGAUGCAGGGACAAAGAUAUCUUACUAAUGCAAUUAUCGCCCUGCCUUUCUUGUGGUAAGCCUCUAAGGCAAGCCGCACAUGCUCAUUCUUGCUUUUGCCAAGAAUCGACGUCCCAUUAAGUUGUGCCUCACAAUUGUUGCAAGAGUUUAUAUGCGCACCAAGGUGCGCUCCUCUAUCUACAUUUUUGUUUACUUGUUGCGCAUGUUUCCUGAGUCGCUCAUUGAUGCAAUGCCCUAUCUAGCCAAGCUAUGUCUUAGCACAUGAGAGUGAAUUGUAUAAACCACGCCGACCGCGCACAACACGUAUGAAGCAUCAUGCCGAAUUUGGCGUCCUCCUCUGCCCUCUCCGCAGGUGCGGGAGCAUAGCUUUAAAAGCUUGUUCGGUGCAGAAAAUGCCAAAGGAACACUAUGCCUGCAAGCAAUGUUCUUGAGUUGAUAGAUGACCUUAUGUGUUUAAGGGACCGCGCAGGGAACAUGCACAAAAAGUAAACAAAAAUGUAGAUAGAAGAGUGCACAUUGUUGCGCAUAUAAACUCUUGCAAAAAUUGUGAGGCACGACUUGAUGGGACGUCGAUUCUUGGCAAAAGCAUGAAUGAGCUUGCGCGGCUUGCCUUAGAGGCCUACGACAUAAAAAGGCAAAAUGAUAAUUGCAUCAGUGACAUAGCUUUGUCCCUGCACCCAUCUGAAUUUGAGUUCCUACGUUUGCAUAUGUGAUAAUUUGGGAGAUCUCUGUAAUGUAAUGUGUGCGCCUGUGCAGUUGUGUGGCCUAGGGCAUAUAUAUGCAUCGACGACGAAGAAAUAAAGAAGUUGUCAGUUAGUGCCAGCGUGUGUCGUAUCUGCCUUUUGCGGUUCGUCUUAGGUGUUUGCGCUGUAAGUUUUAAGUUCAGAAUUAUGUGCCAACUAGGCCAAAUGAAGUUUUACUCUUAGUCAAGCGAGCUCAAUAUAUAGUCUGUGCAAAAGUGUGGAGCGUCAGUACAAAGUAACAGUUCAAACACAUGGCUCUGUAGUUACAGUUCAGUAUGAAACGAGAUAAGAUUUCUUAGCAUUUCUUUCAUUUACUAAUUUCAUUGUAUUAGGACAUGUAGAAUACUAGCAACUGGCAUGCUUACAAUGUACAGUGCUCUUUUUUAAAAUCCAGACAAUUGUUUUACUGGGGCAGAAAUGUGCUUUCUUUUGGGCCUGGAAGUGAACAUAUUAUAUUUCUUACAUUUGAUGUAAAAUAAAUUUUCUUCACUGUCA